GCUUGCUUCUUUGCUGACGAGUGGCGGACGGGUGAGUAAUGUCUGGGAAACUGCCUGAUGGAGGGGGAUAACUACUGGAAACGGUAGCUAAUACCGCAUAACGUCGCAAGACCAAAGAGGGGGACCUUCGGGCCUCUUGCCAUCGGAUGUGCCCAGAUGGGAUUAGCUAGUAGGUGGGGUAACGGCUCACCUAGGCGACGAUCCCUAGCUGGUCUGAGAGGAUGACCAGCCACACUGGAACUGAGACACGGUCCAGACUCCUACGGGAGGCAGCAGUGGGGAAUAUUGCACAAUGGGCGCAAGCCUGAUGCAGCCAUGCCGCGUGUAUGAAGAAGGCCUUCGGGUUGUAAAGUACUUUCAGCGGGGAGGAAGGGAGUAAAGUUAAUACCUUUGCUCAUUGACGUUACCCGCAGAAGAAGCACCGGCUAACUCCGUGCCAGCAGCCGCGGUAAUACGGAGGGUGCUAGCGUUAAUCGGAAUUACU
rnacentral:rRNA from 1 species